UUAAUAACGUAUAUUCUAAAAAUGUAGCUAAGUCAAUAUCACGAAAUGCUAGCAGUAUUGUAGAAAAUAACUUUGAAACAGAAAGACUUCGAAUAAAGGAGAUGAGUGAUCGUGUGAUAGAUAAGAAUGAGUUAAUUAAACAAAUAACAAACCAUGUUGAUGUUCGCAAGAGACAAAUCAAAAGACAGAGACAGUAUUUUGAAGGUUUCUUCUUCUAAUUGAUGGAUGUAAAAAAAAUUACAGUUUUUUAUACGAGGACGUACUUUAUAUGAAUAAUUUUUUUAUAUUGCAUGUACUAUUUCUUUUACUGCUUUAAAUAUUGUUUAUUUAGAUGUAUUACUAUCCGAUGCCUUUAUAUUUACAAAACUAUAAGACUGCAUUUAUCAAGAUUUUCAUUUUUUUGCGAUCUUGUUUGAAGUAGUUAAACUAUAUAUUAUUACCUGCUUAGUAUUAGAGUUGU